GACGAACGCUGGCGGCGUGCUUAAUACAUGCAAGUCGAACGGAAAGGCCCUGCUCUUGCGGGGUGCUCGAGUGGCGAACGGGUGAGUAACACGUGAGUAACCUGCCCUUGACUUUGGGAUAACUCUAGGAAACUGGGGCUAAUAUCCGAUAGGAUCUCCUGCUGCAUGGUGGGGGUUGGAAAGAUUCGGCGGUUGGGGAUCGUUUCGCGGCUUAUCGGCCUGUUGGUGGGGUAGUGGCUUACCAAGGCUUCGACGGGUAGCCGGCCUGAGAGGGUGACCGGCCACAUUGGGACUGAGAUACGGCCCAGAAGCCUACGGGAGGCAACAGUGGAGAAUAUUGCACAGUGGGCGGAAGCCUGAUGCGGCAACGCCGGGUGCGGGAUGACGGCCUUCGGGUUGUAAACCGCUUUCGCCUGUGACGAAGCGUGAGUGACGGUAAUGGGUAAAGAAGCACCGGCUAACUACGUG
rnacentral:rRNA from 1 species